rnacentral:rRNA from 1 species
CUACACGGAGGGAUAACUAUAAGAAGUAGGCGAUAAACCGCAUAAGCGCACAGCUUCGCAUGAAGCGGUGUGAAAAACUCUGGUGGUAUACGAUGGUUCCGCGUCUGAUUAGCUAGUUGGUGGGGUAAUGGCCUACCAAGGCAACGAUCAGUAGCCGGCCUGAGAGGGUGAACGGCCACAUUGGGACUGAGACACGGCCCAAACUCCUACGGGAGGCAGCAG